rnacentral:rRNA from 1 species
GACGAACGCUGGCGGCGUGCUUAACACAUGCAAGUCGAACGGUGAACCGGAGCUUGCUCUGGGGAUCAGUGGCGAACGGUGAGUAACACGUGGGCAACCUGCCCCAGACUCUGGGAUAACCUCGGGAAACCGAUGCUAAUACCGGAUACGACCACUUCGGACAUCCGACGGUGGUGGAAAGUUUUUCGGUCUGGGAUGGGCCCGCGGCCUAUCAGCUAGUUGGUGGGUAAUGGCCUACCAAGGCGACGACGGGUAGCCGGCCUGAGAGGGCGACCGGCCACACUGGAACUGAGACACGGUCCAGACUCCUACGGGAGGCAGCAGUGGGGAAUAUUGCACAAUGGGCGAAAGCCUGAUGCAGCGACGCCGCGUGAGGGACGACGGCCUCGGUGUAACUCUUCAGCAGGGACGAAGACGAAGUAGACUGUACCUGCAGAAGAAG